ensembl:lncRNA
GUGGGGGCCCUGCUGUUUCCUUCGUUUUGGUGUGGGGGUUAUACAAUACAGCCUGGAGCCCUGGCUUUGGAGCAUGUCAGCCCUGGGGCACACGCUCAGAUCUGCCUUGUACAGGCUGUGUGGCCGUGGGCCUGUUUCCUCAUCUGUCAAAUGGGGACAUAACAGGACGCCUCACAGGGUUGCUGUGGUGCGGAAAGGCUUUAAACUCAUGAGGCCCUUGACACGUUGCUUCCGUGCUCAGGAAGUGUCUGCUGUCCUUGGCAUCUUGUUGCAGAGCUGAGAUGGCACAGGUGGCUUCUCCUCCAGGUUCAGCAAGUGGUGUUUCCUGCGCUCGGCCAAGGCCAGGGUGCCUGGGGCCCCAGGAGCCACCAGCCAACAUUGCUGUAUGUCGAGCCCCGUGCCUGGGGUGGGGGGCAUCUUGAGCUUCCUUCCACGCAACAGGGUGCACCCUCCUCCCCUGCUGGUGGUCUGUGGGCAGCAGUGGGCCCUGCCCUGCCCUGCCCUGCCCCCUGUUUACCUGGGUUUGUUUGGAGCGUUACCAGGCGAUCAGAGAGGGUUGAUGGGCACCCGGCUGCUUUGGGGAUGGUUUAGGGCUGACUUACAACCUGGCAUUGAACAGGAACUGUGUUCCAUGCCAGGAGCAUUGCAAAGCUGCAGCCUUAUUUGGUCUGGAAACUUCUCUGCUCGGAGGAAAAGUGGAGCCAGGGAGCCGAUCUGGACUCACCCUGGGCGGCCAGAGCCUUAGUGAUGCCAGCUUGGGUUGUUCUGUUCAUGAGUUCUUCUCAUCUCUCACUUCUCUCUUUGUGGUGGGCUGCCUGCCCUUUUCAGUGAUGGUUCCCCUCUUUUCCACCAGAAGCACUGCUCAGCUCUCUCUCCCCUGCCCACAACUGCCAAUGACUUAUUUUGCUGCACAGCUUUAGUGAGGUGGGGUGAUCGUACCAUGAAAUCCACCCGUUGCCAGUGUACGACACAAGUUCUAGUAAGUGCACGGGACCGUGCCACCCUUCGCCCUGCCCCUCCCCCCACUCGUGUUCCCUAAUGCAGUAUUAGGGCAGGAAGUUCCCGUCCAUCCUUAAUCUGGGAAUUUUUGUUGAUUUAUUUAUAAAUUUUUAUUAGUGGUUUUAUUUUUAAAUCACACAUGGUUUUGGACUUUGUCAUAGGUUUUCCGUGCCUGUGGGGAUGAUCACGUGGGAUUCAUCCUUUAUACAUAGCUCUCUGGUGGCUGUUUGUCUUUGAGUUGCUCAGUCGUGUCCGACUCCUUGCGCCCCGAUGGACUGCAGCACACCAGGCUUCCCUGUCCUUCACCAUCUCCCGGAGUUUGCCCAAACUCAUGUCCACUGAGUCGGUGAUGCCGUCCAACCAUCUCAUAUGGUGGAUUGUGUGAAUUGAAUUUUGAAUGUUAAACCGACCUUGAAUUCCUAGGGUAGAUCCCACUGGUCACAGCAUACAGGUUUUGUAUAUGUAGUUGAUGGCGGUAUGUGAUCAGAAACAUUUGGAAAUCACUGUUUCAGCAUCUGUUGCAGAUCAGAACCGAGUCUCCUUAGGGCAGUGUCCCCAGUCUUUUUGGCACCAAGGGUCGGUUUCAUGGAAGACAGUGUUUCCGAGUGUCGGGGUGGGGGAUGGGGUCAGGACAAUUCAAGUGCAUUACAUUUUCGGGCAUUUUAAUCUAAUGGUGCCACUGAUCUGACCAGGAGGACCGGUUGGUCUGUGGUCCAGAGGCUGGGGCUCCCUACCUUAGGGGGAAGCCGUACUUGGAUUCUUUUCAUGAACUCAGUUAGAGAUUCCAGGACACAGAGAGAGAGAAACCCAGCGGAGGGCUGCUCACGCCCGUCUUUCCCUCUCAAACAUAUUCUGAGGUUGCCACGUCGCGCGUUUUAGCCUUCAGCCCCGCAGAUUCAGCAGUCAGAGGGGCCUGCCCCUGGGGCUGGCCUGCUCGCCUUUCUCGGGGUGGAUGGAACUGGCUUUUGGGGUGAGUUGGGGUUGAAACCCACCUGUGCCCAGCCGAACAAGUCUGGUGAAACCAGGUGUGGCCACACAGAGGAAGGGCUUUCCAUUACAUUUUUUUUUGGCCGUGCUGUACAACAUGUGGGAUCUUAGUUUCCCGACCAGGAAUUGAACCCAGGCUCUGGGCAGUGAAAGCACAGAGUCCUAACCACUGGACCGUCGGGGAAUUCCCUUUUUUUAAGUUUACCCAGAGAUGCUGCGGAGGCUGCUGGUGAACCCGGACAGACAAAGCCUGUGAGGACUGCUGCCCUACCCCGAAUGUCCGGGGAACACCCCUCCCUGUGGGAGCCGGCAGGUCCCCCAUCAUCUGGGAAUGAACUUAUCUCUUGCUCCGCCAGCACAGAGCCAGCCCUCUUCUGGUCCUCGGCAAGCCUGGGGACAGUGAUCAUUCCUCUCUGUUCUUUAUUCCCCCUGGUGAGGCCCCACUGGGUCCCCCGGCCCCCAUCACGAAGGGCGAGAGGUACAGAGCUCAGGCUUCUGGUCAGGAUGGCGUCACAAGUUGGGUCUUAAGUUGGGGCAGGACCCUCACCCCUGAUCCCUGACCCAACACUCAGCAGUCCCAAUAAAAUGGAAAGAGGAAUUCUAAACACAUGGAGCCACACCUCCCAAAGAUAAACAUCCCCGUGUUCCAGAAAACAGACAGAAAGUGGGCAGUCAGAGGCAGGAAGCUGCGGGCCUGCUGGGCUCCGGGUCUGGUUGGGGCUUUCCUGUUCGUCAGAGGCAGAAAGGCCGCUCCCGUUGCUAUGACCACAUAACAAAAUUUACCCAAAACUCUGUGGUAUAAAACCACCGUUUAUCCUGCUCCCUGUUCUGGGCUCAGGAAUUUGGACAGAACUCAGCAGGACCCAGCGAUUCAAGAUGCUGGCCCGUGGCUCAAAGCGGGAGGACUCUGGUGAAACCGGCCCCUGGCACAUCGGGAUCAGGCCGAUGCCUGUCUCCAGCCAAGACCUUUUUGCUCGGCUUCCCCUGAGCCCACCCUGUGUCCUCACUCUCUUGCCCUGAGCGGCUGUUCCCCAUAAGCCAGACUCCCGAGUCCCGAACCCCUGUGCUUCUGGGAGAAGGGGCCUAAGCCUUAAUGUCAGUUACAUGCCAGUUUCAUGCUGAUGGCUCCCCAAAGAUUAUCUUCUCUAUGAUCUUUCCUAGCUCCAAAUAGAAGUCUGCUCGCAUCUGCCCCUGGGUAUUUAGAGGCAUCCUGAACUCAAUGCGUCCCUAUCUGAGGGCCUGAUCAGCCCCUGGGCAGUGGGCUGGAUGGUGGCCCCCAAAAGCUAAUGCCCACAUCCUGAUACUCAGAACCUACGAAUGAGAUCUUUUUGGAUAAAGGGUAUUUGUAGAUGUAAUUAAGGAUCUCAAGGUGGGAUCAUCCUGCUGGCUCGUGGGCCCUCAAGCCAAUGACAGGUGCCCUUAUAAGAGACGAAAGAGGACAGACGGGAGGGAAGAGGGGGAGGCCACCUGGAGGAGGAGGCAGAGGCUGGAGGGAUGUGGCCCAAAUUCAGGAGCACCUGGAGCCCCGGAAGCUGGGACACGCAGGAAGUCUUCUUCCUCCCCUAGGGCCCUGGGAAUGAUCACAGCCCUGCUGACCCCUUGAUUUUGGACUUGCGGCCUCCAGAGCUAGGGGCAAACAAGUUUCUGUGGUUUCAAGCCGCCCCAGGACACUGACACGCCUUCUAAAGCUGCAGCGCUAUCUUUCAGGUCACCCUCACAGCCAUCCUGUUCACCUCUUUCUCACCCCCGCCACGGACCUGCCAGCAAGUCCGCUGUGCCCUGCCUUUAGACCGCGCUGGAGUCUGCCCGCAUCUCCC